rnacentral:rRNA from 1 species
CUGGGGCGGUCGCCUCCCAAAGAGUACCGGAGGCGUGCAAAGGUAAGCUCAAAUUGAAAAUAUCAAUUAAAGAGCGUAAUAGUAUAUGCUUGCUUGACUGUAAGAUUGACAAAUCGAGCAGGGACGAAAGUCGGUUAUAGUGAUCCGGUGAUUCUGUGUGGAAAAGAUCACCGCUCAACGAAUAAAAGGUACGCCGGGGAUAACA